rnacentral:misc_RNA from 1 species
CUUUUAUAGUCAUUUCACAAUAUUUUUUUCUUGUUUUCUCAUAUUUUCAUAUUUUUAUAUUUUUACUUUCUUUGGAAAUAGUUAUUUUCCAAGGAUCUUUCCUUUUCUUUAUUUUGAUAUUCAACAUUCUUAAUUUAUUUCAGUGCCCAAAGUAGCCUUUAACAGAACCGUCUAGGCUGGAUAUGUGGGUUUUACUGGCGCUGGACACUCAGUGCCUUGGGCCGUCAUACCGUCGGACACAUCGGUGCCUGCUGGGUGUGUAAUAUAAUUGGGCAUAAAAGCCAUAGGAAUAAUCAUAUCGGAUACUCGAUGCCUGCCAAUGAUUAUUCAAGCAAUCAUAAAUAAAGGAUAACCAUAACGGACACUUGGUGCCUGCCAAUGCUAUUCGGGCAUAGAAGUUAUGUGCAGUACUGCUAAUCUCAUCCCUUCUUAGCAUGUCAAUCUAUCCAACCCAUUAACUACUGUCUAGGCAUACUCGAGCUAAUUUUUUAUCAUUAGCAAUUCAAUGUUCUCAUUAUUUCAUCAUUUAGGUAUCAUUCUUUUAUAAUUCCAUCAUAAUCUCAAUCAUCAUGGAAACAUAAGUCUCAAACACAAUUUCACAUGCCAUUUAUGCUUGACAUGUCAUUGGCAUUAAUCACAAUUCACAAUUUACACAAUUAUGCUUGCAUUUCAUAAAUUUCAGGUUUGGUAUCUCCACUUUUUUAAUAUAUUUGGUAAAGGUACAGUAGGAAUUAGGCCAUACCCUUUUUAUGAGAGUUGUAGAUCUAUGUCUUAUGUUCAUUUUGGCUUUAGAAUCAUUCAAUUUGCAUUUAUAUAGCUUGAGUUAUGACCAUUUUGCCAAAACUGUUCAGGUGACUAAUUUUCAGUUUUUAGGUCACUUCCAGAAUCCAGGCAGAUUUUUGGACUCAUUUUGUCAAGCAAAUUUGGAUAGGUUAUAGUCAUAAUUUGACAUCAUGUUCUUCAUAUGAAUUGUUCCCCUGUGUCUCAGGAUCACACAAGUUCAAGAAUUAUUUAAUUUGGAGUUUUGUAGAGUGAGUUAUGGUGAAUUUAGUGUGUACUGUUCAUUUGGUCAUUUUUCAGGAUUUCAGAAUUUGUAUUUCCGGAUUCCAGUCCUUAUUCAGGUAUCUUCUAAUCAAUUUUAGGUCAAGUAUUUUUCCAUGAAAAUUAUUCCUCUGUGUCAUAGCUUUCCAGCAAGGUAAAAUUUACCUCAUUUGGAAUUAUAUACAAUGAGUUAUGUCCAAGUAAACAGGACAUGUUCAGGUGCAUUCUUUACUAAUCGCAGGACAAGGUCUGGGCAGUUUUUUGGGGCCCAGAUUUGAACAAGUUACACUUUGAAUUUGUCAUUUUGUUCUUUAGGAAAGUUGUUCUAUUAUGUCUUAGCUUUUCAACAAAUCAAGAAUUAUCUAAUUUGUAGUUUCCUAGAGGGAGUUAUACUCAUUUAAUCCGGACUGUUCAGAGUGUCCUGCUCCUAGGUUUCAAGUUUUGUAACUCAACUUCUAGUAAAUUUUCAAAGUAUUUACACAGAAUUUGAGCAACUUGUCUUCAUGAAAGUUUUAGUAUAUUGUAUUAUCUCUAAUUUGCCGCUGGUUUCACAUCAAUUGGAAUUAUGUAACUCAAGUUAUGAGUAUUUAAUCCCUCUGGACUCAAGCUGUCCAGAUUCACACUUAAUGCACACUUAUCAAUUCAUUUAAUCUCUUUAUCCGAUCAUUAAUUUUUCUCAAUAAAUACAUAUUUAAUAAUCAUAAUAUAACCAUACUAUCAUUAAAUAGGCUACAUACAAUGAAAACCCUAAUUGCAUGAAAACCCUAACUUGAUAGCAAAGCUUUGAAAAUUCAAGGGAUGUUUUAGCACUAACCUUGAUUAUAAGCUUUAAUCACUUUCAAUAAACCUUCAAUUCACCAAAACUUUGAUUCUCCUUCUUGGUCUCCCCAAACCAAAAUUCCUUCAUUAAUCUUCCAAAUUUCUUUGAUUUCUUGCUUGCUUUCUUCAAUUCAAAGCUCAAUCCAAGGUUUUCUCUUGAUUUGCUAUAAAAUUUAUGGAGGAAUUCAAGGGCUUUGAAGCUUGAAAAUGAAGCUUCAAUGGUGGAUUAGAGAGAGAAGGGGACGGCAAGAGGGAAGAAAAGACGAUAAAGAUGAUGUUUGUCAUCUUCCAAUGGAUAUUUAUAUUAAUUUAAUCCCUAAUAGCAAUGUUGUAAAUAUGUGGAAAUGGCAAACUUGUAAAUAUGUGAAAAUCUUUAAUCAUUAGGUUUGACUAAUUAAAUAUUUAUGUUUAAUUUUUCAUAAUCAUAAUUAGUUGAAUUAAUCCACUUCAUUCAUUAACUUAAUUACUUAAAUCUUUGGUCAAUAUUUGACUUUUAAAUUUAAUUGACCAAAUUUUGCUCUUACAGAAUUUCUAUUCAUCUUUUCCUAGUAGAGUUACCCAUCGCUGGGACUUGUACUUAUUUAAUUGAUUAUACUCCACUUUUUUUAUUUGUUCUUCAACCUUACUUGAUCUUUAUUGAUUUAAAUUAUGACUUCUUAGUUAAAUUUAAGGGUAGUUCCAGACAUCCCAGUUUUUCCGGACAGAUGUUAGUUGCCGGAACAGUAGAAUGUACGAAUUACCUAUAGUGGGGGUGUUACACAUAAAAUGUGUGCACAUCCUAAACUGGUUUCUCUCUUAUUUUUAUUUUUAAAACCUUUUUUGCAUGGACUGCUAAAUAUUGCCCUUAUAUUAGAUAAUUGUCAUAUACAAGAAGAAAGGAAAGGUAAGCUUGAAUUUUCAGAUAUUGGCUGAAAAAUCCACUGAUUACUUCUGCUCUGAGUGGGGCAGUAGGAUCAUCAUAGAUGGGGAAAUGCUAAAACUUUGGAGCAAGAGUUUGACUAUUCUUCAUUUGUGUUUGAAGCUUUGUGCAAAUUUUUCGACUUGAUGCAUGUGUUUUUUUGUGUUGUCAAAAAAAUUAGUAUGAAGAGUUGAAAUAUGUAUAUAUUUUUCUUAGGUGGGAGAAACAGCCUGCUCUGAUUAACUAUUGCUCAAAUUUUUUGCAGGGAAGUUUCAGACUGAAUUAGGC